CACUUAAAAAAACAGUAGCCCAUUGGUGGCGCUGAUGGUCUCCGUUUUGAAGUAUUUCCUCAUAUUAAUGGGGGAAACUUCAACCACACCUCAGUGAUCUGGCUGGGAACAGUCAUUUCCACCUUGGGCUCUCCACACAAGAGGUGCUUCACUGGGACUCUCGUUACAUGUAGGAAAUUUGUUUGCAACAUCACUGUCCGGCAUAAACAUCACAGUCCUACAGAAUCAACUGGAAAUUAACUGGGCCCAGAAUAACUGAGGGAAUUAAGGGGUCUUAUAUAUACCAAAAGCACAGACAUCAACAAGGAUUCUGUCGGUGAUCAGGACAGGUUUUUGGACGUGCCACAGCUUAUAUCGCUAAGUGUUGAGGAUUAGAUUCUCUCUCUAUCUCGUCUCUAAACGGCCUGCAGGGUGGCGAGAGAGAGGGGGGAAUCCAACCGGUGCUCGCCGGAGAUGAGUGCGUUCUGGCACAAGAUCGGCUGCUGCGUCGUAGCCAAACCUCCUCCGAAGAAGAAACGGAGGAGAAUUGACCGUAGCAUGAUCGGAGAGCCCACAAAUUUCGUUCAUCUGACACACAUAGGCUCUGGUGAAAUGGCAGAUGGCAUGCAGCCGUCUGGGCCGAUGCAGCAACAAAUGAGAUCCAAAGUGCCUCACGCUAAUGGACGAAACAGCUUGUUAUAGCCUUUUGACCUGGGUGUUUUUUUGUUUGUUUUUUGUUUUUUUUGAACCCCAAGCUCCUUAAAGUGUCCUCAGCAGAACCUGUCCAGCUAGCAGCACUGAACCAACUAUGAGGAGAUACAGAGCAGAUUUUCAUCUCUCCGAUUGCUGCAGCUACAAACAUGGACUGCAGGUUUUUUAUGCUUUGGAUUCUCUGGAAUGUUUCAGAAGAGACAUUUGUUAUUAAAUUUGGACCGGAUUGAAUGAGAGCGCCUGACAAAGAGUGUGAAUGUGUGACGUGUGCAUUUGAGACACUGGCUGUGCUUGCAGUGGAAGAGGAAAGGCUCUUAUCGCUUUGACACAGGGGACUAUUUGACUGCCUUCCCAAAGUUGUAACUGGCAUGUUUGUCAUAGUCUGUCAUUGAUAAGAAUGUGCGCAAAUGUAUGUUUGCUUUUGUUUCGUAAUGGGAAUACAUGUGCAUCUAUACCUUUACAGUGUCUCCAGCUGCUUGUCAUUAACAGUUGCACAAAUUGUUGCUGAUUAGUGUAUGGUAAAAAAAGCGCUUCUUGUAUGUGUAUAGUAGAUGGAUAUAUAAUGAAAAUAUGGAUUUUUUUUUUUUUCCCUGCAAGUCUGGUAUUGCAUUUUACAAAGGCCAAUAUGACUGGGUUGUUAGUCUUAAUGACCUAUAUUCCGACUUCUCUGAGGUUAUACAUUUGCUUUAUGAGAUGAACGGAUCAAAUUUAUCUCAUCAUUCGCUAAUAAUAGUCACCUCAAGUGAGCUGUUAAAGGGAUAAAUCACCAAAAAAAACUAUUUGUCAUCAUUUACAUUCCCUCAAGUUGUACCAAAACUGUUUCAGUUUAUUUCUUUUGUUGAACACUAAAUAUAUUUUAAAGAAUAUUUAACCAAACAGUUGAUGUACCCCAUUGACUUCCAUGUUCCAAGUCAAUGGUGCCCAUCGACUGUUUGGUUACCUAUAUUCUUGAAAAUAUCUACAUUUGUAAGACAGGUUUGGAGCAACUUAAGGGUCAGUAAAUUAUAGAAUUUUUGUUUUUAGGUAAACUAUCCCUUCAAACUGAUAAUUACUGUUUUCAGGAAUAUUGAGUAAAUAAUUUGGGGUCAUAUGGCUUGGAGUAUUACAUUGGGUUUGUACACCAUAUUUGUUUUGUUUUUGGAGGAAAAAAACAAAUCCUUUCUCAUGAAUGAUGGAAGUGCGAGUAAAUCUUUUUCUUUUCUUUUUUAGGCGAGUUAUUCCUGUGAUCUCUGUAUUAGUAAAAGGCCAUUAGCUGAUUAUCUGAGUUGAGACUUUGAACGGAGGAUUCCUGCCACUGCCCUUUGUCAUUUAAACAUCACAUGUACUCUCACUUUCACACAUCAAGCUCCACCUCACACAAGCUUAAACACACCCUCUCUGUUUCCAGUCCUCACACAGCACCAUGAAUAAAUCACUGAUUUACACACACGCUUUGAAUACCGCUCAGUGUAGCACAAUGUUGGGCUGAAAUGUUAAACACGAUAUUUUUGCUUGUGAUUGUGAUGUUUUAUUUGAAAUGCAUUUCUUUGCGAGAUCCCAGACUGUAAUUUACUUUUAGUGUUUGCUGCAAUUUGUUUUGAAAAUGCUAUAGUAAAAUCUGUGCGUAGCGAAAGCUUUCAGAAUGUGCAUGCUGCUUUAGAAAUCCAAUGUUUUGCUGUAUUUUUAGUGUGGAGCUGCCCGGUGGCGCUCUAGAAAUGCAUUUCAUUCUUAGAAAGUGUAGAGGAACAUGCAGAUUUUUGCAUCUCAGCCAAAGACCUCAACUUGUGCAUGUUGCUUGCAGACCUUCUUGGUUUUGUUUGUGUCGUGUGACUGUUUGAAAGCCAUGAUGUUUGUGCAAAGCACUCAUUAUGCCUUUAUUGUCCUUGAUACUUUUCCUUUCCUUUUUUAUUGUAUUUUUUUAUAAAUAUCUUUUAGUUUUAGUCCAGCUGAUUGAUUGUGAUCAAAUGGCAGCAGCAAUAGUGUUCUGUCUGAUAUGGUGUCAAUGCAUCCUUUCAUUGUGCUUUGAUAUGUAACAAUACAGUUGCACAAAGAC